AAAUUGAUAGAAUUGUUUUAUGUGGAUGUUAAAUUAAAUGGGUUAAAUUGAAUAAUUUUUUGUUAUUGUAUAACUAAUAGAUAAAAUUAUAUUUACUAUAGUGAAUUAUGUUUUGUGGAAUGAAUUGAGAGGAUAUAACUAUAAUUUGGUAAAGGUAAUUUUGUUAAUUGUAUCUUGUGUAUCAGAAUAUAUUAAAUUAUAUUAUGAAUUUUUUUUGUCUCGAAUUUAAAAGAUUUAAUUGAGUGUAUUGGUUAUUGUGUUAUAAAUAUUAAAAAUGCUUAAUUGGUAAUGAAAUGUUUAUCGUUUUUAAUGAUAUCUGGUUUUUUAAUAAAUGAAUUCAAUUCAGAAUAUAUAAAUUAUUUAAUAUGUUAUUAUUGAAAUAUUUUAUGUAUUUAAUUUUUGAAGGGAUAAUCUUUUGAAAAUAUAGUUAUAAUAGGUUUUAGAAUAUAUAGGAUUUUAUGAAUUUAGAAUUUGUUAUUGAAUUAAGGAUGUUAAAAUUUAAUUCUUAAUUUUUGCGAUUUAUUUAUUUGUUAUUUAAUUGUUAUAUUAAAAUAUUAAAUUUAAUUUAGAAAUUUUGGAAAAUAUGAUUUAAUUAGUAAAUAGGAAAAUUAUAUUAUAUUGAAUUGGUUUGAAAUGUUAAUAUAAAGAAUUAGGCAAAAAUUUCGCUCACCUGUUUAUUAAAAACAUGGUUUCUUGAAUUAUUUAAGAAAUUUAACCUGCCCACUGAUUCAAUUUGAAGGGCCGCAGUAUUUUGACUGUGCAAAGGUAGCAUAAUCAUUAGUCUUUUAAUUAAAGGCUGGUAUGAAUGGUUGGAUGAGGUGAUUUCUGUUUUAUGUUAAUUAUAGUUGAAUUUAGGUUUUAAGUAAAAAUACUUAAAUAUAAUUAAGGGACGAGAAGACCCUAUAGAGUUUAAUAAAUAUAUUAAAUGAUUGAGUUAGUAAAAAAUUUUUGAUUAUUAUGAGAUUUAUUUGGUUGGGGUGAUUAGAAAAUAAGUUUAACUUUUCUUUAUUUUUAAUAUUAUUAUUAGUUAAAUGAUCCAUAGUUAGUGAUUAAAAGAUUAAAUUACCUUAGGGAUAACAGCAUAAUUUUUUUUAAGAGUUCAUAUUGAAAAAGAAGAUUGUGACCUCGAUGUUGGAUUAAGAUUAGUUUUGGGUGUAGAUGUUCAAUUAACUGGGUCUGUUCGACCUUUAAAAUCUUACAUGAUCUGAGUUUAAACCGGCGUGAGCCAGGUUGGUUUCUAUCUUUUAUUUUAUAAAAUAUUUUAGUACGAGAGGACCUAAUAUUUAAAAUAAUUUUUGGUUAAAGAAUAUUAUUAAUUGGG
rnacentral:rRNA from 1 species